rnacentral:lncRNA from 1 species
UCCAACCUGUCUCCAAUAUCAUCUGCAUUACGUUAUAACUUAACCGAGUUAUUACAACACACCAUUCAAGUGGCUUACAUGUAUGUCCCAGCUACUUUACCAAUAAGACUUAAGUUCCUCCAGAAACACAGUUGUACACCACUCCUGUAUAGAUAUACCCCUCAAAUAUUAUCUGCAAUAACUUCUGUUUUGUAUACCAUACACACCAAACUUACAUGAUGAUGCCUUGUGAGGCGUUGAUGGAAAAAAGCAUGCAAGCGCUCAUUGAAGUACUAUAGACUCUUGCAAACAAAUCCAGCCGUCUGUUUUCAGGUUUCAUGCUUCUUGUAUGUGCUUAAAUUAGCAUGCGUAUCAUCUAAUAGUUUAAGCAAGUACGUACUAUAAGUUAUCGGAGGGAACCUGAUUAAAAAACAACAGUAACCAAUAAUACACGCAUAAAAUAAAUUUAUAUAACUCUGAAAACUGCUUUCUUGUUUCUAAUUAAAAAAAAACAAAAUAAAAAAACAUCCACAGUUAAUCAGAGAACCCCUCUUAUAUUCAACACAAGUUGACUUGGUGUGUGUUUGUUUUACCGGUCAGGAUCUUGUCAUUCAGCAACUAAAAUUCUCCAAUGGUAUAGUUGGUACGGUGAAACUUACUUAGGAGGGUUUGCUUCAGAAUGGCAGGAUGGCAGGCACUCCCCCAGACAUUUAUGACUUGGCCCCACAAAAUAGGCAAUCUGCUCCAACAAGGACAAAGUCCUGCAUCCUCCAUCUUGUUACAAAGUAGUGAUACCUUGAAACCGGUGUGAACCAAAGUCCAUGAGCAUGGGUGACAGCUAAGCUUAUUUCUUAGUGCUAAUUUGAUAGCUAAGCAUGACUCUUCAUGUUAUAUGGUACUUGAAUGCAUCAUCCAUUGUGUGGUGCUCAUAUGUUAAAACGCAUUCAAGUAUUGGAAGGCAUGAGGCAGACAGCUGACAUUUAAUGAUGCUUCUUUUUUGUUUUGACAGGACAUAAGUUGUAACCAACGAUAUAGUUUACAAAGAUUCAACAGAGCUCUGUGAUGAAAGGAUAAAUAGCAAGCUAACGUCUGCUUUGGCCUGUUGCUGUUUUUGUUUCUAUGCAAAUUACUGAAAUAUCGGGAGAUUGACGUUGAAGAUAGCAUUUGCGUAGAACUUUGAAAACAAUAAAUCUUUGUUUCUAUGGAAUCUAAAAAUUUUAUGAACUUUUGAAAUAAUAAAAAAGUUUCAUCGCACAUGUUGUGCAAUAUAGUCCAUUUUUCUUCUUGGAUUUUCGAAAACAAAACAGACCCUAAGAUUUCCACAAAAUACAGCUCCAGUCUGGGCAAUGAUGAAAAAUAGCAAGCAAAAAUCUCCUUAAAACGUAAUUAUCUCAAUUUAAAAUGUAAUUGGAGCCUUUCAUGAAAGCUUCCGCAUAAUACAAUGCUCCAUAAAUAGGCAAAAACCAUAUCCAAAAUCUAAAAUGAAUCAUUGGAUUGACAAGCAGUGUCAUAAUAGAUAAUUUCAGGUGAAUUGUGCGAUCUAUUUUGACAUUACUUUGUAUUGUAUGAUUUGGCAAAUUUAUGACCUGAUUGUAAUGCAUCAUAUUAUUAAUCAUACAUUCCACAUGUAUACAUGGGACAAAUAAAUAUCGUAGAGCUCUAAAAGAUAUUUCAGUUCUUAUGUAUUUCUGACCAUUAGAUUAAACAUGGACCACUCAGAUUUUAACCAACUAAAGUGCUCCUGUGCAUGACUGGUACGAUAAAUAUUUCAAAGAUUAAAAAUAUUUUAAUAUUAAAUUGAUGACAGCAGCUCUUAUAAUUAAAUUAAACUUUUUUCCCCCAAAAGGUCUUCUCCGACCAGCAAAAGGGUGACAGCGGGCGAAGAACCCGUGGGCAUGCGAGAGGAUGGAAGAGCCACAUAGCGGGGGCGACAUCGACUGAGGGUGCAGGGGUUGACUGUAGGCGGGCACCAGCAGAGGGACAACCGUGGGGGGACCUGUGAGCAUGCAAGAGGGCAGAAGAGCCGCGGGUGGUGAUGGAUGACAAGGUGGAUGACCGACGAGGGGGCAAAUGACCCGUGGGUGGCUACAGGGGGUAACUGUAGGCAAGCAGUUGGGGGGGGGGGUGGGGGGGCGUGGUGGUGGAUGACCCACAAGGGGUAGGGGAGCUAGUCGGGUGGGAUGGGGUGUGGUGCAGGCGACCUGUGGGUGGGAAUGGGGGGCGAGCAAGGGUGCAAACGACCCGCAGGUGCCUAUAAGGAGGGGGUUGAUAGGGGGUGGCCACAAGGAGAGGGGGGCACAGGGGUGACCCUAGGUGGGUGGGAGGGUUGACAACACAGAUGGCUGCGAGGGAUGACCACAAAUAGGUGGGAGGGCAGGCGACUUGCAGGAGGUGGUGGCGCAAACAAGCCGCAGGCACCAGGUGGGGGGCUUGAUCGUGGGCGAAGGACCCAUGGGCACGCAGAGGGCGGACGACUCAUGGGUGCCGAAGGAAAGAUGGGAUGGGGGAACAUGGGCAUGCAUUAAAGGGGAUGGAGACGGGGGGGACACCAAAGGCUGUGGGAGGGUGCUCGAUGGGCCAACAGGCGCUGUGGGCAGAGGGAAGGGGACUACGAGUGGAAAUGGGGACGAUCGAGCCGCGAAUGGGCACAAGAUGCGAAAAAAUCGCCGAUGGAGAGAGAUAGAGCCGUGGACAAGGGGCUGGAAAGGAGCCAACAGAUGGAGGAUCAUUCGGAGUAGCUGCAAUGGUGCCAAAAAAUAGAGGUGGGCGCGAAGAAGCAAAGAAAGAAGAACCGGUGAAGAAGCAAUGAAGAAAUUAAAAAAAUAAUAAAAUAUUAUUUUUAAAAAAUAAAAUAUAUAAAAUCAUAAUAUAUAAUACCUAUAAUGUCCUGUAUAAUAAAAUAUUAUAAAAAAUACCAUAACAAAAUCCAUCUAAUUUUUAUAAUAAUUACGAGCUAAUUUUUAUAAUAAGUAAAAAAGUCAUUAUUUAUGUUAGGUAAACAUGGCCUCCCCCUCCAUCCCCCCCCACCCAAUAAUAAUAAUAAUAAUAAUAAAUAAAUAAAUAAAAAUAGAAAACCAUCAACUCUAAAUCAUGACAACUUGAGCUAGACUUUUUUUUGUUUUAGUAGAAUUGACCUAGAUUAUCCUCCCCCCACCCCCCGACUAAAAUCCUAUUCUCGUUACCUAGGCGGGUCGAAACUCAGACCAUACCUGACCCAUUUAAAGUUCAAAUUAGAAAAUUUGACCUAUACACAACCCUAUUUAUAGAAAUCCUUGACCUGAACCUAACCCAAAUAUGAUUGGCUUACGUUAUCAAAUCAAGUCAAUAUGUGACACCUGUAGGUAUAACCCUCCCAAAGGCAAAAAGGGGGAAGGGAGAAAGAGCUCCAGGAUAGUUGUUCAAACCAAAAUUACAAUAAAUAUCAUCUGUCUCCAAAUAAGGCACCUUAUGACUCCACCCAAUGUCUCCAAAUAUCAUCUGCAUUACGUUCUGUGAUAACCUACUUGAACGGAGUUGCUACAACACACUAUUCUAGUUUCUUACAUGUAUGUCCCAGCCACUCCCACAAAUAAGACUCGUAUGCUCCACUAGAAACACAAUCGUACACCACUCCUAUAUAUCCCUCAAAUAUUAUUCGCAAUAACUUACUGUUUUUUAUACCAUACACACGACUAUGCCUUGUGAGGAGUUGAUCGAAGAAGCAUACAAGCGCUCAUUGAGGUACUAUGGACUAUUGCAAACAAACCCAUCCGUCUGCUUUGAGG